UAACGCUGGCUGUGUGCCUAAUACAUGCAUGUCGAGCGAAAGUACUUGUACUUUAGCGGCAAAUGGGUGAGUAACACGUACUCAACCUACCUCACAGACUGGAAUAACCAAGGGAAACUUUGGCUAAUGCCGGAUACACCUUAACUUCGCAUGAAGAUAAGGUUAAAGGAACUAUUGUUUCACUGGGAGAUGGGGGUGCGUUACAUUAGUUAGUUGGCGGUGUAAUAGACCACCAAGACGAUGAUGUAUAGCCGGGUUGAGAGACCGAACGGCCACACUGGGACUGAGAUACGGCCCAGACUUCUACGGGAGGCAGCAGUAGGGAAUAUUCCACAAUGGGCGAAAGCCUGAUGGAGCGACACAGCGUGCAGGAUGAAGGUCUUCGGAUCGUAAACUGCUGUUAUACAGAAAGAAAAGAUAAGGGAGUGGAAAGCCCUUAUUAUGACGGUACUGUAUCAGAAAGUGACGGCAAACUAUGUGCCAGCAGCCGCGGUAAUACAUAGGUCACAAGCGUUAUCCGAAAUUAUUGGGCGUAAAGCGUCCGUAGGUUGUCUGUUAAGUCUGAAGUCAAAAACCGAAGCCCAACUUCGGCUCGCUUCAGAUACUGGCAAACUAGAGUUAUAGAGAGGUUAGUGGAAUUUCAUGUGAAGCGGUGGAAUGCGUAGAUAUAUGAAAGAACACCAAUGGCGAAGGCAGCUAACUGGCUAUAUACUGACACUGAGGGACGAAAGCGUGGGGAGCAAACAGGAUUAGAUACCCUGGUAGUCCACGCCGUAAACGAUGAUCAUUAGUUGGUGGAGCAAUUCACCGACGCAGCUAACGCAUUAAAUGAUCCGCCUGAGUAGUAUGCUCGCAAGAGUGAAACUUAAAGGAAUUGACGGGGACCCGCACAAGCGGUGGAGCAUGUGGUUUAAUUUGACGAUACGCGUAGAACCUUACCCACUCUUGACAUCUUCGGCAAAGCUAUAGAGAUAUAGUGGAGGUUAACCGAAUGACAGAUGGUGCAUGGUUGUCGUCAGCUCGUGUCGUGAGAUGUUUGGUUAAGUCCUGCAACGAGCGCAACCCCUAUCCUUAGUUACUAACAUUAAGUUGAGCACUUUAAGGAUACUGCCUAGGUAACUGGGAGGAAGGUGGGGAUGACGUCAAAUCAUCAUGCCUCUUACGAGUGGGGCAACACACGUGCUACAAUGGCCGGUACAAAGAGACGCAAUAUGGUGACAUGGAGCAAAUCUGAAAAACCGGUCUCAGUUCGGAUUGAAGGCUGCAAUUCGCCUUCAUGAAGUCGGAAUCGCUAGUAAUCGUAGAUCAGCUACGCUACGGUGAAUACGUUCUCGGGUCUUGUACACACCGCCCGUCACACCAUGGGAGCCGGUAAUACCCAAAGUCGGUUUAGCUAACUACGGAAGCGACUGCCUAAGGUAGGAUUGGUGACUGGGGUGAAGUCGUAACAAGGUAUCCCUACGAGAACGUGGGGAUGGAUCACCUCCUUUCUACGGAGUACAUAAGCUGCAAAGAGCAGCUAUAAUAUGACAUUUGGCACAAAUCUUCCCAAUUAAUUUUGGUUGAAGUCUGUGUGUUGGCGUUGCCAAAGCGCAUCUAAUAUUCAGUUUUGAGGGUUCUACCUCAAAAUUAGUUCUUUGAAAACUGAAUAGCAUAAAUUAAUAUGAUAACGACAUCAAAAUAUGUAAAUAAUUUUGAUCCGAGUUGAGUUCAAUAAUUUGAACUCUAUAAAUACCUUAAGAUACACAUCAAAUUUCAAUAGGAAAUUAGAAAAAAAAUAAUAAUACGAUUACUUAUAUUUACUUUUAAAUAUUUAAGAGUUUGUAGUGGAUGCCUUGGGUCUGGAAGUCGAAGAAGGACGUGAUUACCUGCGAUAAGCUUUGUCUAGUUGGAAAUAAACUAUGAGACAGAGAUCUCCGAAUGGGGAAACCCAGUGCGAUUAAUCUUGCAUUACUACCUUGUGAAUAUAUAGCAAGGAAAGAGACAUACGUUGUGAAUUGAAACAUCUUAGUAGCAACAGGAAAAGAAAAUAAAUAAUGAUUCCGUCAGUAGCGGCGAGCGAACGCGGAAGAGCCCAAACCAAUUUAUUGGGGUUGUAGGACUGCUUACACGGAGUUACAAAAUUAAUGUAUAGAAGAACAAGUUGGGAAGCUUGGACAUAGAGGGUGAUAUCCCCGUAUUCGAAAUGCAUUAAUCUCUUAGCAGUAUCCUGAGUAGGGCGGGGCACGUGAAACCCUGUCUGAAUCCGCCGGGACCACCCGGUAAGGCUAAAUACUAACCAGACACCGAUAGUGAACUAGUA
rnacentral:rRNA from 1 species